AACAUAGCCCUAGAAUUAAUCUAAGGUGCAACCUGCCCAAUGAUUUAAGAAAAAAUAUAACCAUUUAGAAAAAAUUCAAUGGACGCGGUAAUAUGACCGUGAUAAUGUAGCAUAAUCAUUCGCCAUUUAAUUGAUGGAUAGUAUGAAAGGUUACACGAGUUCUAAACUGUCUCAAUUAAAGAAUCUAUGAAAUUAAAAUAAUAGUUAAGAUGCUAUUUAAUAUUGUAAGACGAAAAGACCCUAUAGAGCUUGACUAAAAUCUUCUUUUAAUAAGGAAGAGUGAUAGUUUAGUUGGGGCGACUAUCUUCUAGAAAAAACGAAGAUAAGCAAAGUUAAUAAAUAACUUAUUGUAUAACCAAUAAAUUUAACAAUUAUUAAAAUAGGCUAUAGUGACCCGUUAUAAUUAAGUAAUAAAAAUAACGAAAAAUAAAUAAAAGCUACCUUAGGGAUAACAGGAUAAUUUCAUUCUAGAGACCAUAUCAAAAAUGAAGUUUAUCACCUCUAUGUUGAAUUGAGAUAACCUAAUAAAGCAGAAUUUAUUAAAGGUAGGUCUGUUCGACCUUUAAAAUCUCACAUGA
rnacentral:rRNA from 1 species